GUAGCGUUAUGGUUUGGAACUUAUAAAAUAAAGAGCUCAUUUCCCGUUGUCAUUCUUGUGACGGUACUCUACCUCUGACAACAUGAAGCUACUUUACAUCCUAUUAAGUUGUGUACUUCUCGGGGUGAGUCUGACAAGUGCAGGACCUCCAGGGCUAAUACGUCGUAAAGUCAUAGCUCCAGUGGUAAACAACAGAGCUGCCUAUCCGUACAAAAGAUUUGUGUUAUUACCUGACGGAAGAUCCCUGCGCGAAUUGGAAGGCUUCGACUGGAUUGAGGAUUAACAACAAAACGGCGCAUGGUCAUGUCAAGAUCUACACAUCACCUCCAGAAUGAUUGUGACACAAAGCAAGAUAAAGACCUAGAUAAAGCUGUUUUGUUCAGUUUCAAUAAAUAAAAAAAUAUUAUUAAUGUA